CUAUAUAAUUAAGAAAUAGCUAAAUGAUUAUCAUAUGAUAUAUUGUGUAUAUUAGCAACUAAUUUUAAAACUUAAAUAGGAAUUCAGUUAUGACUUUCCUUGACAAUUGCAUAAAAUUGUUUUAGGAAUCAAAAUCCAAACUAGAACCUUACCAAACCGAAAAAAAAUCGAAAAUCAAACAAUUUGAAAGAAAGCAUUACUGUUUCAAGCCAUUAGUUUGACAAUUAAACAUUUUAACAGAAAGCAUUAUUGUUUUACUAUUGAGGUAUUUUAGGAAGUAAGGAUAAAUGAAUUACAAUCAUGAAAUUAUACCAAACAUUAACUAUAUGAAAUUCAAUUGAAUUUCACAUUUUAAUAUUGAUUCUGAUUCUAGAGAUCAGUGGAAUCAAAUGUCUCAAAGGGUAUCAAAUUCCGAUUCCUAAUUGACCCAAACAACCAGGAAAAAUAUUCUUUGCUUCCAAUUUGCCUUGAUUACGAUUCUGAUUCCAGAAUUUGAAACAAAUAGACCCUAAGUUUCAUAAAUAUUAUACUCUCAUCAAAAGUAUGAACAUAAAUGGAUAAAUUUCAACAAUUGUUCCUGAACUUAUAUAGUUAUAACACUACAGUCCUUUAACUUUAAAAUGUAACAUAAAACCCCCUAAACUUUCAAAUUUUGCACAGUAAAAUCCCUCUAACCUCUAGUUAUCAGUUUUUCAGUUAGACGCUAACCUGGACAGUUCCAACAUGGAGCUUAGUCAGUAUUUCUC
rnacentral:misc_RNA from 1 species